ACUCUGGAUAGCUCAGUUGGCUACAGCGUGGUGCCGAUAAUGCCAAGGUUGCAGGUUCGAUCCCCAUAGGGCAGUGCA